GCUUACAGCCAUACCACCCUUUCUGCACCUGAUUUUGUCUGAUCUCGGAAGCUAAGCAGGGUUGGGCGUGCUUAGUACUUGGAUGGGAGACUGUCUGGGAAUACCAGGUGCUGUAAGCU
ensembl:rRNA 5S_rRNA 5S ribosomal RNA